GAUGGUUCAGUUUCUGUUGUCUGUUCCGUUGUUUCCGUUGUUCUGUUCUUGUUUCAGAUGAUUUCUGUUGAAGUUGAUGAUUUAGGUCGAAGUUGGUUGGAAACAACAGAUUUCGGUCAAAGUUGAUGAUUUCGGUUGAAGUUGAUGAUUUAGGUCGAAGUUGGUUGGAAACAACAGAUUUCGGUCAAAGUUGAUGAUUUCGGUUGAAGUUGAUGAUUUAGGUCGAAGUUGGUUGGAAACAACAGAUUUCGGUCAAAGUUGAUGAUUUCGGUCGAAGUUGAUGAUUUAGGUCGAAGUUGGUUGGAAACAACAGAUUUCGGUCAAAGUUGAUGAUUUCGGUUGAAGUUGAUGAUUUAGGUCGAAGUUGGUUGGAAACAACAGAUUUCGGUCAAAGUUGAUGAUUUCGGUUGUAGUUGAUGGUUCAGGUCGAAGUUGGUUGGAAACAACAGAUUUCGGUCAAAGUUGAUGAUUUCGCUUGAAGUUGAUGAUUUUAGUAGAAGUUGGUUGGAAACAACAGAUUUCGGUCAAAGUUGAUGAUUUCGUUUGAAGUUGAUGAUUUUAGUAGAAGUUGGUUGGAAACAACAGAUUUCGGUCAAAGUUGAUGAUUUCGGUUGAAGUUGAUGAUUUUAGUAGAAGUUGGUUGGAAACAACAGAUUUCGGUCAAAGUUGAUGAUUUCGGUUGUAGUUGAUGGUUCAGGUCGAAGUUGGUUGGAAACAACAGAUUUCGGUCAAAGUUGAUGAUUUCGCUUGAAGUUGAUGAUUUUAGUAGAAGUUGGUUGGAAACAACAGAUUUCGGUCAAAGUUGAUGAUUUCGGUUGUAGUUGAUGGUUCAGGUCGAAGUUGGUUGGAAACAACAGAUUUCGGUCAAAGUUGAUGAUUUCGCUUGAAGUUGAUGAUUUUAGUAGAAGUUGGUUGGAAACAACAGAUUUCGGUCAAAGUUGAUGAUUUCGGUUGAAGUUGAUGAUUUAGGUCGAAGUUGGUUGGAAACAACAGAUUUCGGUCAAAGUUGAUGAUUUCGGUUGAAGUUGAUGAUUUAGGUCGAAGUUGGUUGGAAACAACAGAUUUCGGUCAAAGUUGAUGAUUUCGGUUGAAGUUGAUGAUUUAGGUCGAAAUUGGUUGGAAACAACAGAUUUCGGUCAAAGUUGAUGAUUUCGGUCGAAGUUGGUUGGAAACAACAGAUUUCGGUCAAAGUUGAUGAUUUCGGUUGAAGUUGAUGAUUUUAGUAGAAGUUGGUUGGAAACAACAGAUUUCGGUCAAAGUUGAUGAUUUCGGUUGAAGUUGAUGAUUUUAGUAGAAGUUGGUUGGAAACAACAGAUUUCGGUCAAAGUUGAUGAUUUCGGUUGAAGUUGAUGAUUUUAGUAGAAGUUGGUUGGAAACAACAGAUUUCGGUCAAAGUUGAUGAUUUCGGUUGAAGUUGAUGAUUUAGGUCGAAGUUGGUUGGAAACAACAGAUUUCGGUCAAAGUUGAUGAUUUCGGUUGAAGUUGAUGAUUUAGGUCGAAGUUGGUUGGAAACAACAGAUUUCGUUCAAAGUUGAUGAUUUCGGUUGAAGUUGAUGAUUUUAGUAGAAGUUGGUUGGAAACAACAGAUUUCGGUCAAAGUUGAUGAUUUCGGUUGAAGUUGAUGAUUUUAGUAGAAGUUGGUUGGAAACAACAGAUUUCGGUCAAAGUUGAUGAUUUCGGUUGAAGUUGAUGAUUUAGGUCGAAGUUGGUUGGAAACAACAGAUUUCGUUCAAAGUUGAUGAUUUCGGUUGAAGUUGAUGAUUUUAGUAGAAGUUGGUUGGAAACAACAGAUUUCGGUCAAAGUUGAUGAUUUCGGUUGAAGUUGAUGAUUUAGGUCGAAGUUGGUUGGAAACAACAGAUUUCGGUCAAAGUUGAUGAUUUCGGUUGUAGUUGAUGAUUUAGGUCGAAGUUGGUUGGAAACUACAGAUUUCGGUCAAAGUUGAUGAUUUCGGUUGAAGUUGAUGAUUUCGGUCGAGGUUGGUUGGAAACAACAGAUUUCGGUCAAAGUUGAUGAUUUCGGUUGAAGCGUAUGAUUUUAGUAGAAGUUGGUUGGAAACAACAGAUUUCGGUCAAAGUUGAUGAUUUCGGUUGUAGUUGAUGAUUUAGGUCGAAGUUGGUUGGAAACAACAGAUUUCGGUCAAAGUUGAUGAUUUCGGUUGUAGUUGAUGAUUUAGGUCGAAGUUGGUUGGAAACAACAGAUUUCGGUCAAAGUUGAUGAUUUCGGUUGUAGUUGAUGAUUUAGGUCGAAGUUGGUUGGAAACAACAGAUUUCGGUCAAAGUUGAUGAUUUCGGUUGUAGUUGAUAAUUUAGGUCGAAGUUGGUUGGAAACAACAGAUUUCGGUCAAAGUUGAUGAUUUCGGUUGAAGUUGAUGAUUUCGGUCGAAGUUGGUUGGAAACAACAGAUUUCGGUCAAAGUUGAUGAUUUCGGUUGAAGUUGAUGAUUUCGGUCGAAGUUGGUUGGAAACAACAAAUUUCGGUCAAAGUUGAUGAUUUCGGUUGAAGUUGAUGAUUUAGGUCGAAGUUGGUUGGAAACAACAAAUUUCGGUCAAAGUUGAUGAUUUCGGUUGUAGUUGAUGAUUUAGGUCGAAGUUGGUUGGAAACAACAGAUUUCGGUCAAAGUUGAUGAUUUCGGUUGUAGUUGAUAAUUUAGGUCGAAGUUGGUUGGAAACAACAGAUUUCGGUCAAAGUUGAUGAUUUCGGUUGAAGUUGAUGAUUUCGGUCGAGGUUGGUUGGAAACAACAGAUUUCGGUCAAAGUUGAUGAUUUCGGUUGAAGUUGAUGAUUUAGGUCGAAGUUGGUUGGAAACAACAGAUUUCGGUCAAAGUUGAUGAUUUCGGUUGUAGUUGAUGAUUUAGGUCGAAGUUGGUUGGAAACUACAGAUUUCGGUCAAAGUUGAUGAUUUCGGUUGAAGUUGAUGAUUUCGGUCGAGGUUGGUUGGAAACAACAGAUUUCGGUCAAAGUUGAUGAUUUCGGUUGAAGUUGAUGAUUUAGGUCGAAGUUGGUUGGAAACAACAGAUUUCGGCCAAAGUUGAUGAUUUCGGUUGAAGUUGAUGAUUUUAGUAGAAGUUGGUUGGAAACAACAGGUUUCGGUCAAAGUUGAUGAUUUCAGUUGAAGUUGAUGAUUUAGAACGAAGUUGGUUGGAAACAACAGAUUUCGGUCAAAGUUGAUGAUUUCGGUUGAAGUUGAUGAUUUCGGUUGUAGUUGAUGAUUUAGGUCGAAGUUGGUUGGAAACAACAGAUUUCGGUCAAAGUUGAUGAUUUCGGUUGUAGUUGAUGAUUUAGGUCGAAGUUGGUUGGAAACAACAGAUUUCGGUCAUAGUUGAUGAUUUCGGUUGUAGUUGAUGAUUUA